AGACCUUCUUUCACAGCUCUGCCGAGGAAGGUCUGUCUAGUGCACACAACAUUCUGGGAUGGGAGAGAAAUGUGCACUGG